UAAAACCAGCUCUUCAAGUGGUCGGGAAUUUUAUUGGGCUUAAAGCGUCCGUAGCCGGUUUGAUAAGUUCCUGGUUAAAUCUGGCAGCUCAACUGUCAGUUGGCUAGGAAUACUAUCUUACUAGAGGGUGGGAAAGGUUUGAGGUACUCCAGGGGUAGCGGUGAAAUGCUAUAAUCCUUGGGGGACCACCAGUGGCGAAGGCGUCAGACUGGAACACGCCUGACGGUGAGGGACGAAAGCCAGGGGAGCGAACGGGAUUAGAUACCCCGGUAGUCCUGGCUGUAAACGAUGCGUGCUAGGUGUUGGUAGGGCUAUGAGCCGUAUCAGUGCCGUAGGGAAACUGUUAAGCGCGCCGCCUGGGAAGUACGCUCGCAAGGGUG
rnacentral:rRNA from 1 species